rnacentral:rRNA from 1 species
AUUCCAGCUCCAAUAGCGUAUAUUAAAGUUGUUGCAGUUAAAAAGCUCGUAGUUGGAUUUCUGGUGGGGCUGUCGGCCUGGCUCCGAAAGGGGUCGUGGUUAGUACACGCCUGGCCAUCCUCGGGGGAAGCUUUGCUGGCAUUAAGUUGUCGGCGGAGUGACGCUCGUCGUUUACUGUGAACAAAUUAGAGUGUUCAAAGCAGGCUUAGGCCGUUGAAUACAUUAGCAUGGAAUAAUGAGAUAGGACUUUGGUGGUCUAUUUUGUUGGUUUGCACGCCGAAGUAAUGAUAAGCAGGGACAGUCAGGGGCACUCGUAUUCCGCCGUGAGAGGUGAAAUUCUCAGACCAGCGGAAGACGAACUACUGCGAAAGCAUUUGCCAGGGAUGUUUUCAUCG